AUUGAACGCUGGCGGCAUGCCUUACGCAUGCAAGUCGAACGGCAGCACGGACUUCGGUCUGGUGGCGAGUGGCGAACGGGUGAGUAAUGUAUCGGAACGUACCUUUCAGUGGGGGAUAACGUAGCGAAAGUUACGCUAAUACCGCAUAUUCUGUGAGCAGGAAAGCAGGGGAUCGAAAGACCUUGCGCUGAUUGAGCGGCCGAUAUCAGAUUAGCUAGUUGGUGGGGUAAAGGCCUACCAAGGCGACGAUCUGUAGCGGGUCUGAGAGGAUGAUCCGCCACACUGGAACUGAGACACGGUCCAGACUCCUACGGGAGGCAGCAGUGGGGAAUUUUGGACAAUGGGGGCAACCCUGAUCCAGCCAUGCCGCGUGAGUGAAGAAGGCCUUCGGGUUGUAAAGCUCUUUCGGCCGGGAAGAAAUCGCAUAGGCUAAUACCCUGUGUGGAUGACGGUACCGGAAUAAGAAGCACCGGCUAACUACGUG
rnacentral:rRNA from 1 species